rnacentral:rRNA from 1 species
UACGUAGGUGGCAAGCGUUGUCCGGAAUUAUUGGGCGUAAAGCGCGUGCAGGCGGCUUCUUAAGUCUGAUGUGAAAUCUCGGGGCUCAACCCCGAGCGGCCAUUGGAAACUGGGAAGCUUGAGUGCAGAAGAGGAGAGUGGAAUUCCACGUGUAGCGGUGAAAUGCGUAGAUAUGUGGAGGAACACCAGUGGCGAAGGCGACUCUCUGGUCUGUAACUGACGCUGAGGCGCGAAAGCGUGGGGAGCAAACAGG